rnacentral:rRNA from 1 species
UACGUAGGGUGCAAGCGUUGUCCGGAAUUAUUGGGCGUAAAGAGCUCGUAGGCGGUUUGUUGCGUCGGCUGUGAAAUCCCGAGGCUCAACCUCGGGUCUGCAGUCGAUACGAGCAAACUAGAGUGUUGCAGGGGAGACUGGAAUUCCUGGUGUAGCGGUGAAAUGCGCAGAUAUCAGGAGGAACACCGGUGGCGAAGGCGGGUCUCUGGGCAACAACUGACGCUGAGGAGCGAAAAGCGUGGGGAGCGAACAGG